GUAAAGCCCAAACAAAACAGUCUCCUCCUCCAUCAUCAGCUCCUCCCACCUCCACUGUUGCAUCAUCCAACCCUUCCUCCCAUCCUGCCCCCCGUCACCCCUAGAACACCACUAAACUCUGGGUCCCACCAGCAGCCCAUCUGUUUACUCUCCAAACCACGACCUACCCUGCGUUUUGCCCUCCAAUACUCCCCGUAGUAGAAGACCUGAGUAGUAGACCUCUGGUUAUCACAAGACAACAUAGAGGAUAUAGAAGAGAACGUACAACUGUUUUUUUUGCUGUGUUUACAGUAGGAUGUAGGGAAGUUAAUAUAACCUAUUCAAUAGUGAGAAUGGGUGAACCUUGGAGAGGGAGGCAAGAUGAAUAGAUUGGGGGUAGAUGUCGGGGUUUGAUUACAGGAUAGCUAGUAGCUAGUUAACCGAGGAUGAACAGGAUAGCUAGUAGCUAGUUAACCGAGGAUGAACAGGAUAGCUAGUAGCUAGUUAACCGAGGAAGAACAGGAUAGCUAGUAACUAGUUAUCCAAGGUUGAACAGGAUAGCUAGUAGCUAGUUAACUGAGGAUGAACAGGAUAGCUAGUAGCUAGUUAACCCAAGAUGAACAGGAUAGCUAGUAGCUAGUUAACUGAGGAUGAACAGGAUAGCUAGUAGCUAGUUAACCCAAGAUGAACAGGAUAGCUAGUAGCUAGUUAACUGAGGAUGAACAGGAUAGCUACGAGCUAGUUAACUGAGGAUGAACAGGAUAGCUAGUAACUAGUUAUCCAAGGAUGAACAGGAUAGCUAGUAGCUAGUUAACCCAAGAUGAACAGGAUAGCUACCAGCUAGUUAACUGAGGAUGAACAGGAUAGCUAGUAACUAGUUAACCGAGGAUGAACAGGAUAGCUAGUAACUAGUUAACCGAGGAUGAACAGGAUAGCUAGUAGCUAGUUAACCGAGGAUGAACAGGAUAGCUAGUAGCUAGUUAACCGAGGAUGAACAGGAUAGCUAGUAACUAGUUAUCCCUAGAUGAACAGGAUAGCUAGUAGCUAGUUAACCCAAGAUGAACAGGAUAGCUAGUAGCUAGUUAACUGAGGAUGAACAGGAUAGCUACGAGCUAGUUAACUGAGGAUGAACAGGAUAGCUACGAGCUAGUUAACUGAGGAUGAACAGGAUAGCUAGUAACUAGUUAUCCCAAGAUGAACAGGAUAGCUAGUAGCUAGUUAACCAAGGUUGAACAGGAUAGCUAGUAGCUAGUUAACCGAGGAUGAACAGGAUAGCUAGUAGCUAGUUAACCGAGGAUGAACAGGAUAGCUAGUAGCUAGUUAACCGAGGAUGAACAGGAUAGCUAGUAGCUAGUUAACCCAAGAUGAACAAGAUAGCUUGUAGCUAGUUAACCUAAGAUGAACAGGAUAGCUACUAGCUAGUUAACUGAGGAUGAACAGGAUAGCUAGUAGCUAGUUAACCCAAGAUGAACAAGAUAGCUAGUAGCUAGUUAACCCAAGAUGAACAGAUUGGGAUAGAUACGUAUAGAUGUAGACUAGAGAGAGGUGUGCUGUAACUCCCAGCAGCCUUUGCUGUGGCUCUAAUGUUGCGUCCAUAUCCGUUUGCUCCCAACAGGUCAAAGGUCAAAUCUCCCAAUGGUGCACCUUGUCUCUCAGCGCGCCCCUUUCAGCUUACUGUUGUCUCUCAGCCCACCCCCCUCUGGCGUACUGUACCAGCUGAUCAACACUUUUCAAAGUUUUAUUUGAAAAAGAAAAGUAAACUGACAAAAACAAAUGUAUGUACUUUGUAUGUGUGAGUGUGUGUGUGUAUAUAGCUAAAUUAAAUAAAGACUCUUUGUAAAGUAUUUUCAACCAUAAGUAACUCAUCCACAUUAAAUAAUUAGCAUUUUAACGUGUCUUAUAAGAGAAGUGUCCUGGAAAGCAUUUUAAACCAUGACUACAUGUUUCAAUACCAUGGGAAUGUAUGAUAAUAAAGUUAUCUAUAUACGAA
ensembl:lncRNA